UGCUGUUGAAGUGUAGAUCAGCAGCAUGGAAUAACAUUUUGUACCAUUAAAGAAGUUGGAUAGAGAGAGAGGGUUAGAAUUUAGACUGUUAGUUAAGCCAAGCCAACACCACAUCCCCAUUCACACAGGUCAGUCACCAACCCAUGACAUAACCACUCAGAAACCGCCACGUCACAGAAAUUGAUCAACGAAGCUUCCUCGAACCUAAGCUCCUACGAGAAGGUCACGCCAAGCCCACGCAUGGGGAAUCUCAAAAUCCCACGCGGCAUCCCCGCAGCCCCUUGAUCCGAACCCUCUAAAAGCCCGACGGCCAAGAUUUCAUCUAGGAUCAUCAUCUUUGACAGCAGCCCAUGGUCAUCCUCUCU
rnacentral:lncRNA from 1 species